GAAGAAAAGCAGAGCAGAAGCACAUGACCUGGAGAAACCACAAGUUCUAAGGGGUCUCAUAGAAGUGGAAGAUGGUAGUGUAGCGGUAGAUCUGCCCAAUCUAGGUGCACAACAUGUAUUCAUAUUAAUUGUGUUGUGUUUUCAUUGUCCAGGCAUGUUUGGGUUGGAGAUUUACCGCAACACCCUUUUGACCUUGUUCAGUAUUGGCAAUGCCAAUUCUCCAGAACAACUUAUUUUCCAUACCUCAGUGUCUAAGGCAGUAUCUUCCCUGCCCAUCACAUUAUGAACCCCUCAGUUGAUUCAUCCAAUGAAGAGGUCAUAGUUCCAGGGCUCAAUUCCCUCCUCAAUCAUCCCUUCUGAAUGCUGAACUGGGUUAUGACUAGAAGCUGUUGGAGCUGUUGGAAGGGCUGAGAUUGCCAGGGUGCAGAAGAGAGUCAGUCACCAUUUCCAGUUCAAAAUCCCGGUUGCUAGAGCAAGACUCACAAAGUUCCAAGUGCUUCGGGUUCCUGGGGUUCCCCAGUCUCCCCAGACAAUACUGGGACUCCCUACCCCAGAAUCAUCAUCAGAUGGGAAGGCAGGUUGGAAUUUCUGACAGAGAAACUCAGAAACAGAGAUUACUGUUGACUUCAUAAAGCUGGUGGGCCUGUCAUGUUUUCUUCGUAUUUUACCAUUUUCUCUGGUUGUCCUCUGUGCUGCAUAACUUUUUUUGUCAAUGUGGCACAAUUCAGUGUUCUCUGAGAAGAGGAGACAUCACUUGAGAAAAUGCCUCCAUCAGAUUGGCCUGUGGGAAAGUCUUGGGGAACAUUUCCUUGAUGAACAUUUGAUGUAGAAGGGUCCAGAUCACCAUAGCUAUUGUCACCUUAGGCAGGUUAUUCUGGCUCCUAUAAGAAGGCCAGUUGAUGAGCAAGCAAUGGGGAACAAGCCAGUGAGCAGUAUUCCUUCAUGACCUCUGCUUCAGCUCUGUCUCCAGGUUCCUGCUUUGAGUUCCUGCCUUGACUUUCCUCAGUAGUACACUGUGAUGUUUAAGUGUAAGCCAAAUAACCUCAGUUUUCCUCAGCUGCUUUUCGACAUGGUGUUGACCAUAUCAACAAAAAGCAAAUGAAUACAUCCCCCAAGCUUGAAUAUCCUGUAAUUCCUGUCACUCUCCUUCAACUGAGGUGACAGGAAGAGUCUUUGGAACUAAUAUUUCAUAUCUUGUCUAUGGCCUACCCAGAUCAAUUAGCCCUGGGGGUUUCUAGUACCAGAACUGUUUCCCCAGAUCUUUUCUGCCAUCCCACCUCCAUCUCUACCCUCCCCUUGUCUGCUUGUUACUUUUCUCUAGUGGAAGUCCACAAAUCAACUUUCCUUAGCAGCAAACUCUUUGAAUACAUUGCUGUGCCCAGGAUCACAGCCACAUAUGAAGAGUAUGUGAAGGUCCAUCAUUUCCCCUUGGAAAUUGUCACAUGGCUCUACCAUGAGAUCUGUUCAGCUUGCUGAAUUCUUUCUAUUCAAGAUCAGUUGCCUCUGCAACAUAUUGUCUAGUUUAGCCUAAACCAAAGAAGAUAUAGCACUCCAGUCAAAAUUACAAUUUGUCCUUGAGAUAUGCUACUGAUAGUUUUAAAUGAAAAAUUAUUUUAAUAUUCUUUCAUUUUCUGAUUUGAAGAACUGUACUUCUUAUAGAAAAUGAUUUUUGUGUAUGUAGUAUUUUAAUAUUUGUACAGUUCUACUUAUAAUUAUCACUUUCUAUUACUGAAAUGUAUUCUCACACACUGAGAAUUUUA
ensembl:lincRNA A730082K24Rik RIKEN cDNA A730082K24 gene